UCUGGAAGCAGGGAUCCAACCUGUAGUCUGGCCACCACUCCAGACUGAUGACUUAUUAAAUUCUUGGCAGGGAUCUUGGCAGGGAUUCUGCCCCGAUGAUCAUCAUAACUGAACAUGUCAAUCACCUUUAUUGAUUGAAAAGGCUCUUAGAGAUCAUACAUUGAAGUCUCCUCAUAAAUUAGGUGAGGAAAAAGAAGCCCAGAAACAGUCAAAAAUGUUUUUUGAGGAUCUCUAUUUGUAAGAAAACACUUGUUGUCUAAUAAUUGAGAAGACAAUUUAUGAAGGCUCAUCUUUAUAUCCUUU